GGCGGACGUAGCCAAGUGGUUCAAAGGCAGU
rnacentral:tRNA from 1 species